GGAAAUUGAUGUACCUGAUUCUAAAUUGGUCACUGAUGCUGGUAUUGACUCUACUAAUAACAACGAUGUGAAUGUUGACGCUCCUAAUGCUGAAAAGAAAGAUUAUUCUAUAGUAUUAGUACCUGAGAAAAGUGAUACUGAAAAUGAGAAUGCAUCAGUGAGACUUGAACCUGGUCCUCCUUGUGUUGUCUCUUCGGAUACAAAGGGGUUAAGUGGAGGCUUGAAUAAUGGGGUCCAUAAAAUAGGUCAGCCAUCAUCUGGUUUCGAUGGGAGAUCAUGACUUUUCAACGUGUGACAAUAUCACAUUUGAAUCCUGAUUCUGUUUUCCCGCUUUCUUUUUCUAGGUUGGAUGUGACAGUUGUUGAUGUUGGACCACCAGCUGACUGGGUGAAGAUUAACGUACAGAGGACGGCAUGUUGCUAUCUUACAAAUCUGAGCAAUCCACCUACCUUGUUUUAUGUAUUAAUUAAUAGUCUCUUCCAAUAACUGCAGGAAGAUUGCUUCGAGGUGUAUGCAUUAGUCCCAGGACUAGUCCGUGAAGAGGUUAGCUCUCUCACACACUUGGAGUAGAAUCUAUGUACAUACUCGUUUUGUGUACAUGUGAACUUAUCUUGGCAAAUAACAACACAGGUCCGAGUCCAAUCAGAUCCGGCAGGACGGUUGGUAAAAAGUGGCGAACCAGAGAACCCUAUGAAUCCAUGGGGAGCUACUCCUUUCAAAAAGGUAAUGUCCAUAACGAAGUAGUCGCUACACUUGAGGCUGAACCUAUAGAAGACAUGGAAAUUGAUGUACCUGAUUCUAAAUUGGUCACUGAUGCUGGUAUUGACUCUACUAAUAACAACGAUGUGAAUGUUGACGCUCCUAAUGCUGAAAAGAAAGAUUAUUCUAUAGUAUUAGUACCUGAGAAAAGUGAUACUGAAAAUGAGAAUGCAUCAGUGAGACUUGAACCUGGUCCUCCUUGUGUUGUCUCUUCGGAUACAAAGGGGUUAAGUGGAGGCUUGAAUAAUGGGGUCCAU
rnacentral:lncRNA from 1 species